rnacentral:lncRNA from 1 species
CUUAAACAAAUCUCUUUGGACGAUCGAAGGAUUCAAAAUCCUAACUCAGAAAUUCCUAUCUAUAAGAAGAAGAAGAAAUCUUCAAAAGCCACUUCCGGCGGUGGUCAGCAGCAUGGCGGUGUUGGUGCUUCUCAAUGUUUUUUUUUAAGAUCGUGACAACUUAUUUUAGCCAUCGAGACUGUUCAAUGUUUGGUAAGCAUUAGGAAAUUAGUUGGGGAAUUCUGAAAUGUUAAUUUUGUGGAUUUUAUCCGCUCCUUUUGCUAGAUUUGAAUCAGUCUUUGGUCAAUUGUAGUGUCUAAAAGAUAGGGUUGCUCAUAUUUGUUUUCUUUAAUUUCAAACAGCAAAAGUAAUAUAGCGAAAUGGAAAUAUGGUAAAUAUAUAUAGCUAAAAAUAUUCACUGGAAUCUUAAUCUUCUGGCCAAGAAUAUAGCUCAAAAAGAUUCCCUGGGAUUUCAAUCUAGUAGCCGACAAUCUUACUGUAAAAUGAGUUAUAUGUUGCAAUUUGAUCAUUCUAGCUUGUAGCCAAUUUUGGUUUGUAGGAAAUGUAACGACCAUAUGCAAAAUAUAACAUGUAAUGAAGGUGAAUAAUUAGUCAUUCUCAUGAUUUUUGCUGACUGUGUAUUUAUAGCUCCAUUUUUUCGGCUUCUACUUCUUGGGCAACAUAUCUUCUGACAAAGGUUUUUACUAUCACUUCAUGCACAUGAAUGAUAGUGCAAGGUUGUUCGAAUAUGUCCAAGUGUGGGUUAUUCCAUUUUUCGUUCUACAAAAUGUCUUUGCAUUGCUUAGAAAUGGUAUCGUAGCUAUCAAAAUUCUUGUCUCAUGUGUACAUUUCAGCAGAUUUGCUUAAGUGUGCGGGCUGCUUGAACGGUCGUUCACGACGAUUCAACUCUGCUAAUCUCAACAGAUGACAAAAUCUUAGCCAUAUGUCGAGAUUAGUUGUCAGUAUCGACAGAUGAACUGUCCAUAUCGAUGAUUGAUGUUAGUUUUUCUAGAUAGUUCACCCCACUACACGUAUGAGUUCAAUUCAUUACGUGUUACGUUUCUCUAUUUUAUCAUGAUUUAAUCCAUGUUUUUCUCGUUGUACCUUGUAGGAGAAAAUGGACUUUGAAUUCCUCAUUUCGAAAAAUGCUUGGUUGCGGAAGUUGAUCUAAUGUGCUAGAAGUUGGUCUGUUGUUUCUUAGUUUGAAUGUUGUUAUGCGAUAACUGAAGAUCAACAGUGUAGGGUUAGUGCAUAGUGAAUGCAUGGAUUUUUCAAAUAAUAAAUGAUUAUGUACACUAUAAUUUAUUUUGUAAUGAAGGC